rnacentral:rRNA from 1 species
GGAAUAUUGCACAAUGGAGGAAACUCUGAUGCAGCGACGCCGCGUGAGUGAUGAAGGCCUUCGGGUCGUAAAGCCCUGUCGCAGGGGAAUAACACAAUGAAUGUACCCUGCAAGAACGGAUCGGCUAACUUCGUGACAGCAGCCGCGGUAAGACGAGGGAUCCUAGCGUUGUUCGGAAUUAUUGGGCGUAAAGGGGGUGUAGGUGGCUUUGUAAGUCAGGUGUGAAAGCCCAGGGCUCAACCCUGGAAGUGCAUUUGAUACUGCGAAGCUUGAGUGUAGGAGAGGUUACUAGAAUUCUUGGUGUAGUGGUGAAAUACGUAGAUAUCAAGAGGAAUACCGGCGGCGAAGGCGGGUAACUGGCCUAACACUGACACUCAGACCCGAAAGCGUGGGGAUCAAAC